rnacentral:rRNA from 1 species
UACGGAGGGUGCAAGCGUUGUCCGGAAUCACUGGGCGUAAAGAGCUCGUAGGCGGUUUGUCGCGUCUGCUGUGAAAACUCGGGGCUUAACUCCGGGCCUGCAGUGGGUACGGGCAGACUAGAGUGCGGUAGGGGAGACUGGAAUUCCUGGUGUAGCGGUGAAAUGCGCAGAUAUCAGGAGGAACACCGGUGGCGAAGGCGGGUCUCUGGGCCGUAACUGACGCUGAGACACGAAAGCGUGGGUAGCAAACAGG